GACGAACCGUGCGAACGUUAUUCGGAAUCAUUGGGCUUAAAGCGCGUGUAGGCGGAUGGGAACGUCGGUCGCUGAAAUACCCCGGCUUAACCGGGGAACUGGCAUCGAAACGACCCGUCUCGAGGGGCAUAGGGGGAGCUGGAACUUCCGGUGGAGCGGUGAAAUGCGUUGAGAUCGGAAGGAACGCCCGUGGCGAAAGCG
rnacentral:rRNA from 1 species